UUUUCCCUCCCCCCUGCUCGUCCGAUGCCGCCGUCGCCGCCAUCAUCAUUAUCCUGGCCGCCGCCACCUCCUUCCCGCCACUUCCCUGCGCUCUGAGAAGAGGAAUGAGGGGAGGGGGUGGGGCGAGGGAUGAGAGCGGCGGUUGGUUGGUCGGUUGGUUGCUGGUGAGUUUGAGAGCCCGUGAGUCCCUACUCGAGAGCCCGAGCGGCAGCGCCAACUACUGCGGCGGCUUCGAUUGGGGGGCGCGCGCGCGCGCAAUCUCUUGCGUCCGUUGUCCAGGUUGGCUGCGACUGGAGAGAGUACCAACCAAACAGGCAGGGAGGGGAAAACGGAGGGGUUGAUGCUACAGAUUUUGGCCUGAAAAACAAAGUUUUCCUUUUGUCUGAGGGGCUUCUAGAAAACAUCCUGCCAUUUGACUUCAGGGCAUCUGUGUUUUGGAGCAUUGCUGCAAGAUAAGCAUUCAAGAACAAGGACAAUUUUCUAUAUAUGAUUCUGUUGCCAUCAAAUCAUGAUUGUCAUGGAUACCUGUAACAUGGAAAUCAAUAAAGGAUGGCAAGUGGGCAGAGCUGGCAGCUGUCACAUUUUCUCUAGGCAAUACGCUUCACCAUCCAAGGAGGAGAAGAUGUGUGACCUGUAUACACCUGCUCAUUGUCUGCCUCUGGGUGAUCUGGUGGGAAAGGUGUGCUGAUUGCAAGAUCACUUAGUUCUGAAUGCCAAAAACUACUGGGAUGCUUUGGAAGGGGCUGAACCUUACUCCACUGGUCUCAACGUCUUGCAGGUGUCGAAAUGACUUGGACCAGACCUACUGGUGUCUUAAGAUCUGAACGUUAACAGCCUCAGAAGAAUCUGGGCCUAUAAGACUUGCUACACAAGUAUACAAAAGGGCUCACUUAUGUUCCUACACCAUUUCACCUGUUACAGAUAAUGUAGUCUUCCAUGGGGACCACUGUACAAGUUAAAGGUGACAAGAAUUCAGUCCUGCAAUAAUAGUGGAUUUUCACGAUAAAAAGUACUGUAAAAUUAAUGGGGGUUGGGGGAUUGUUAUGGCUGGGAAUAUGCCUAGGGUCUUACUACUUUGACAGAGAUCCUCCCGCCAGUAUAUAAAUUUUGUGAAAUAAAAUAAAUUUAUGAUCUA